rnacentral:rRNA from 1 species
AUGGCGAUCACAACUGCUAGUGCCAGUCCGGCCAUGCAAGAAGCAGCAAAGACGCCAAGCGCCUCGCCGCCCCGCGCCACGGCCGCCUCGCCGGCUCGCUACCGGCCUUCACCGCUGGUCAUAUUCAGCGCCUGCCUCGUCCUCAUCGGCUCCAGCGGGCCGCUCCUGCUGCGGGUCUACUUCGUCCACGGCGGGCAACGCCUCUGGCUCUCCGCGCUGGUCCAGAUCUCCGGCUGGCCGCUCCUCCUCCCGCCCCUGUGCGUCUCCAUCUUCCGCGGCCGCCGCCACGGCAUCGUCAACCUCCUCCUCCCGCCUCGCCUCAUUGGCGCGGCCGUCGUUCUAGGCAGUUUGUACGCUGUGUCGUGCUUCGUGUACGCGAUGGGCUCGCAGGCGCUGCCGUUGUCCACCUCGUCCUUGCUGCUGGCGACCCAGCUCGCCUUCACCGCCGUGUUCGCGUUCCUCUUCGUCGGGCUCCGCUUCACGCCCUUCUCUGCCAACGCCGUCCUGCUGCUCACCAUCGGUCCGGCGGUGCUCGGCGUCGGGCCCGGGUCCGGGAAGCCGGCGGGCGAGCCAUCCAAGACGUACUGGACCGGGUUCUGCGAGGCCAUCGCGGCGGCCGCGCUCGCCGGGCUCGUGCUACCGCUCGUUGAGGUCGCCAUGGAGCGGUUUGGGCGGCGGAGGGGACCCGCCGCGAGUGCGCCGCCACCCUACUCCACGGUGAUGCAGAUGCAAGCCAUGAUGGGCCUCGCCGGCACGAUGGUGUGCCUGCUCGGCAUGGCCAUCAAGAGCGACUUCAAGGCGCUGCCAAUCGAGGCGGCGGCAUUCGGGCUCGGCGAGACCAAGUACUACCUAGUGCUCGUGUGGGGUGCCGUGGCGUGGCAGCUUCUCAACCUGGGUGUCGUGGGGCUCGUCACUUGCGCCUCUUCGCUCCUCGCCGGCAUCAUGGUCGCCGUCCUCCUGCCGCUCUCCGAGGUCCUCGCCGUCAUCUUCCUCCACGAGAAGUUCGACGGACCAAAGGGUAUCGCGCUCGUGCUCUGCCUCUGGGGCUUUGCCUCCUACAUGUACGGCGAGAAGGUCCAGCAGAAGAAGGCGGCGGCGCAGAAGAACCAGCUGCUGCAGCAGCAGAUGGCGAGGAAAACCGGAGACCUCGAGCUGGCUACCCCUUGA